GUCAACUAGCAGUUAGGUAGGUUAGGCUACUGUUCAGCAAUACUAAUGAAAGAAAACAUAUAAAUACUCACUAGGUCAAAUACCAUUCUUCGUUUAAUCUCUGCAUUUGUCAUUAUUCUUGAUUUGCCUCCCACUCACCUCCCUUUUUUUCGUCCCUUCUCACCUGUCUGCCCCACAUUGAUUACGUUUAUGAUUUCCCUGCUCUGUCUGUAAACUAAACACUGCAUUCUGUUUGGCAGCCUCUCCUAUUUUCCUUUUCAAUCUCUUUUAUUUCUAUUAUUUUGCUUGCAAAUGGUUAAAAGCUAUUUUAAAAAAAAUCAUUUUUAAAACUGAUAUUUAUUAGCACUGGCACCUUAAUUGUUUGAUGAUCUAAAAUGAAUUCAUAGUUAAUUGAUUGUAUAUUGAUGCACAGGCACUUUAAUUAAUGAACUACAAAUUGAUUAAAUGAAUUCAUAAAUUAAUUGAAGGUUUUUAUCGAUAAAUUAAUUGGUCGCUAAGUUAGUAUUGAAUCGAUUACACUAAACACGAAACACUGAUUGAUGCACCUCAAGGGUACUGUAUAAUUUUAAAUUCAUUUUAGAAUAAAAGAAUCCGAUAGUGUGGGGUUACUACUGUUUGCUCUUUGUUAGCCUCUACUUUUCUGUAAAUAUAAUUCCAAAAUCAUAAACUCCCCCUCAUCAUAAACAUAAAGUUUACAGCCGGCUCUUACAAUAAUUUAUAACUCAGCUUCAGUGCAGCAUGGAUGUUCAGUCAGUGGGGGGCUUCAAAUUCUUCUGUCACCGCUGAUCACUUCCUCCUAGGUCACGGGGUCAGACUUCUGCUGCGUGCCUGCUUGCGUCUAUCUUUCACAUGAUAACAGAAGUCAGCAGCAUGAAUAGAUCAGCAAUGACAGGGAGUUCCUAAACGUUCACAGGCACUGCACACAGAGCUCUGUGGACUGACCCUCCUGGGGAUCCGUAGUUUGCAUGCAGUAACAAGGAAGAGAAAGUGAGAUUAUGAGUAAGUGGAACAAGAAGCAGCAGACUGUAUUAUGAGCCCGAGUGCCUGAUGUUUGGGAGCCUGUUCGCUUAUAUGAUCGGAAGGAUCCUAUGUACCUGUUUGCAAUCAAAGUCAACAUAUUCAUCUGUAUCAAAACCAUGACUCAAUGUGUUUGUUAUAUUUGGACAACAAUCUUGUGAAGUCAAAGUAUCUAUAUCAUUCUUCACAUGCGUCCCUUCCUUUAGGGUAAGUUCCAACUCAGAUGUAUCCUUGGAAAAUAAGAAACAUCAACAGAUAUAGUUAAAGUGAUAUUGUUUUAUUAUUACUUCACUUUCACAAAAUGUAUUUAUAUAUUGUUUAAUCAUAAAAUGGGUUUUAGCUGGCAAACUUCCUUUUCUCUCUCCCUCUCCUCGUGGCUUUCCCCGCAGCUUUUCGUGACGUCACUUCCACCUCUGGCCGGCUAAAACCAGUCCUUGGACUUUUAUUGGCAUCAACGGACAAACUAACUUUUCUUUAAUAAUUUUUUCUCUCAUUCUUGCUUCACUCUUUAUUAGUUUACAAGCAAGCUUCAGUCACAAUCACAAAAAAAUGUUUCCAUGCCUUUUAAUAUGUAUUAUAGUGAUAAAUAGCAUUACAUACCUGGAAUUUUUUGUGAAAGAGAAUAAAGUAUAGCAUUAGGUUUUAGAUACCAA